AAGGAUCAUUAAAGAGUAAGGGUCUUCUGGCCCGACCUCCAACCCUAUGUAUAUCUACCUCUGUUGCUUUGGCGGGCCCGCUGGGGAGACCCACCGCCGGCUGAGGCUGGUGAGCGCCCGUCAGAGACCACCUAAACUCUGUUUUAUCAGUGAUGUCUGAGUGUCAUAUAAUAGUUAAAACUUUCAACAACGGAUCUCUUGGUUCUGGCAUCGAUGAAGAACGCAGCGAAAUGCGAUAAGUAAUGUGAAUUGCAGAAUUCAGUGAAUCAUCGAAUCUUUGAACGCACAUUGCGCCCCUCGGUAUUCCGAGGGGCAUGCCUGUUCGAGCGUCAUUACACCACUCAAGCUCGGCUUGGUAAUGGGUGCUCGCCCCUAGGGGCGCGCCCGAAAGUCAGUGGCGGUGCCGCCUGGCCUCAAGCGUAGUAAUCAUCUUUUUCGCUUUGGAGGUUAGGUGUGUUGCUUGCCAUUCAAUCCCCCAAUUUCAAAGGUUGACCUCGGAUCAGGUAGGGAUACCCGCUGAACUUAA
rnacentral:rRNA from 1 species